rnacentral:lncRNA from 1 species
AUUAGAUAUUUAUCUAUAUAUAUAUAUAUAUAUAUUUACUAAUAUCGGUAGGGAUGUUAGUCGAAUGCUCAAAUUUCUAUGUAUAUUUUAAUAGUUUCGAAUACGAAAAUAGAUUCAUACUAAUUUAUUUUUACUUCUAUGGCAGCAGAAGUUCAGGACAGCGUCAAGCACCUAAGAUCUCCAAUAUAUUCGUUUCUCGUUAGGACCGAAAACGGGCUCGAGCUGGCUCAAGGCUGGUCAGGUAGGCCGCGGCCUGGCCGCCGCCGAGAGCCGAAAGCUAAGUCGUC